UUGUUUCAAACAAGUUGUAGAUUUUUUUUGCAUUGAAACCCCUAUGCGUUGAUUAUCUGCAAAUUGAUAUAUUGAUCUUCUGCCAUUUUUUGGUUUCUUUCUUAUGAUUGCUAAUUUGCAGGGUGUCAAAGUGAUUAGGAAAACAAUUGUCUGGUAAUAUAUCUGCAGACUAGUGAAGAUGCACCAAUUUGUGGCUGGUUCUGAGUUUUUGAGAGGUUUUGAAUCUGGCGAGAUCCAGAUACUUGGAUGGUAUUUUUAAUAGGAAUUAGUUGAAUGGGAAUGGAGUUGGUUUAGGCCAGCAUGGGGCGGUAAAGCUUUGGGCUUGGAAGUUGUAAGAGCUUGGAGAAUUAGAAGGUUAAUUGGGUUGGUUUAGCAUGAUCAGGGGAAAUGGAAUGAUGCUAAUUCAUAGCGAAAAGGAGGUGAUUUUACCGAGAUUGGGCCCACAGCCAUGGAAAUUUUGUGUUUUGGAGUUAUUGGAUUUAGGAGAGGGUAAUUGCUUGGGGUUGAGAUGAGGAAUGAGUGCCAUGAAGAGACAAUGUCUCUUUUGCCAGGAAAGUCAGCCAUCGAAGUUUUCUUUUCUCUAGAGCAAUUAUAGGAAAUUUUAAAUUCAUAAACUAGGAUAUUCUUGGAUUUGUGGAUCUGUGUGAAGCUUGUGAUUGAAACCUUAAAGAAGUUAUCUGGUGGGAAAUAAUCUGAAUGACCUAUAUGUGGAUAAAGCUAAAGUCGCAUAAGAAGGAGAAAAUAGCAUUAAGAGUUAGUCAUGAAGCUUCUGUAAAGUUCCUAGUGGUAGUGACCAGGAAUCUGCCCAGGGUUUUAUCUUUAAGUUCUUAUAUGAUGUAGUAAUAUCCCAAUAGAAACUCCCAUGGAAAACCUAGAUUUGAGAAAAUAUUUCAAUUUUCAUUUUCUCAAUAUUCUGCUGAAGGUUUUGGUGAUAAAGAAUUCAAGCAUGUCUUAAAGGCAACAUAUAACUGUAGGUCCAAAG
rnacentral:lncRNA from 1 species